ensembl:lncRNA
AUGCAUUGCGGAGAUGUAAUAGACCAUCAGGGCAAAUGUGACGGUGUCCUCUGGCUAUUCCGUCGCCAAUUUCUUCUGGGAAAAGAUCAGCAGCUCAACCGUGGGCGGAUUAUUAAGAACCCUGAGGAUAAAUCGUACAGACUGAGUGUUACAGAGGACUGUUCUCUGGUUAUAAAGAAGGUCACAUUUGACGACACUGGUUUCUACACCUGCUUAAAACCAGGACAAGAUGAAGAAUAUCUAGUUGAACUGAUUGUUUUCACCACAGGAAUCAUCUUUCCAGGGUCUGGAACCGAUGCUCCAUCAAAUUUACAAGGAGUCACAGCAGGGAGAAACGAGACAGCAACAGAACAAGGAGGCACAGCAGGGAGAAACGAGACAGCGACAGAACAAGCUCGUACAGAUUGUUCUGUUGUCGACUACAUCAUGUUGGUUCUGCGUGUGGCUGAACUCGUCCUAAUUACUGUGAUUACUGUUCUUCUCAUCAGAGCUCCAGGGAACCAGAGACCAGUGAGGCGUUCAGGUGCAGCAGCCAGUCAGGUAAAGAUCAGAUCAGACAGGAGCUGGUGGUGCGUUCAGGUUCAGCCGACUCAGUAUAUAAACAACAACAAUCAGCUGGGAGGAACAUUUGGAGCACUUUUGUGAUCAUAUAUAUACACACACAUAUAAAUAUAUAUACAAGUAACAGUUAGUGAUGGUGCGUUCAGGUGCUGUCAGAUUAUUUCUUAUUUAUUGUGUUAAAUGUGGGUCAAUGAUGUGAAAGUUGUCAGUUAAAGUGUGUCAGAGUGACAGUUUGUGUGUGUUGUGUUUCACAGGUGGAUCAUGAUGAAGAUGAAGAUGAUGGUGUGGUGAAAUAUGAAAACCGUGGAGACACUUCUGCCUCUGUCAGACUCCGCUGAAGAAUUCAGAGCUGAUUUGAAGAUUUCCUGUUUGUUGUUGAAGCUGCUGCAGCUUGAGCUCAGUUCCAUGUCUCUGUGUGCAGAAGAACUCAUUUUAGGGAGAGCUGUGUGUUCUGUAACGCGCCUGAGUCUGUACAUCAUGUGUUUGUUGAAUUUCACCGUUUGUUGUCUUCUCUCUCCUCUCUGCUGUCUGAGGGAAGAUAGGAGUGUUUCUCUGAGGGGAUUUGCAUACUGGGGUCCAGGUAUUCAUAACAUCUUUUUAAGAGUUUUAAGGGUGAAUGUAUUUGCCUUUAUUCAUUAAUAUGACAAAUGUCUUUUCUGUGCCGAGCUCUUUGUGUUUCAGUCUGAGCUGAACUAACAGGCUGGAGUCAAACUGGUGGACGAGGAGUUUGACUCUUCAGCUGUCUGUGUAUGUGUGCUGUAAACAUCAUGAAUCCUGACUGUUUCACAAUAAAGUAUAAAAAGAUAAUAAGUUGUAUUUGUGCAAAUGUGUAUCUCAACUAACAAUCCUCAAAUAUGCAUCGAAUGUAAAAAUUUAAACGUGACAGUAUCUAACUUCACACAAAUUCAACAGCAAACUGAGGUGUGAAACAGACUGAAGUCAUUAUGAGGAAGUGACUUCUUACUUAUUGUAGGAAGUAGAUGCUGUGAUCAUAUUUAAGAAUCAGCACAUCAGAGGUGUCAAAAGUCCACACCCUCUUUACUCAAGUAGAAGUACAGGUUCGGCAAUGUACUCACACUUAAAAAGUAAAAAGUUACCAUUUGAAGGACUUUUUUUUAUGAAAAGCUAACUGAAACCACAG